rnacentral:rRNA from 1 species
UACGGAGGGUGCGAGCGUUGUUCGGAAUCACUGGGCGUAAAGCGCGUGUAGGCGGCCUUGUAAGUUUGGUGUGAAAGCCCGGGGCUUACCCCCGGAAGUGCACUGGAUACUGCAAGGCUAGAGUACCGGAGAGGAAAGUGGAAUUCCUGGUGUAGCGGUGAAAUGCGUAGAUAUCAGGAGGAACACCGGUGGCGAAAGCGACGUGCUGGACCCUUUCUGACGCUGAGGCGCGAAAGCCAGGGGAGCAAACGGG